UAACUCACUGAACUCAGGGGAAGGACUGAAUUUCUGGUGGUUGACAGAAUAUGUUUGCUACUUGAGGAAGAUCCUUUCAUGAAUCCAAAAAUAUAUUUAAGUCUCAUCUCUCCCCACAGAUGCUCUGCUUUCAAAAGUCCUUGUUCCCCAAGUGACAAACUUUGGUGACCCCUCUGGGUCUCUGCCAUCCUGAUAGGAAGAACUGUUUUUCCAGGUGGAUUUUGUCUUGCAUAAGGAAGAGAUAAUACAGCUUCCUAAGGCAUCUGACGCUGCUCACACAAGUCUUGUCUCGUCUUGUGCCGCCGAGUCGUUUCCGACCCAGAGGGACACCGUGGACACAUCUCUCCCCGUAUGGCCCACUCUCCCUCUGCAAUCAUUCUGAUUCACCAUUUCUUUGGAUCUCUGCAACAUUCUCAACAUCCCAUUAGGAGGAAAGCCAAGGCCAUUAUAUGGUAGCGUAUUUGGACUACUCAGACACCAAAAAUAUACUGUGGGAUUGUCAUAGGACCAAGCAGUAAGCCUCUUUUCUCUUACGGAAGGUUUGUUCCCCAAGUUUAAAAGGAAAUGGCCUAUUUAUGGAAUUAAUAAAUUGCAUUAUCUGGG